AGCGAACGCUGGCGGCAGGCUUAACACAUGCAAGUCGAGCGGGCGUAGCAAUACGUCAGCGGCAGACGGGUGAGUAACGCGUGGGAACGUACCUUUUGGUUCGGAACAACACAGGGAAACUUGUGCUAAUACCGGAUAAGCCCUUACGGGGAAAGAUUUAUCGCCGAAAGAUCGGCCCGCGUCUGAUUAGCUAGUUGGUGUGGUAACGGCGCACCAAGGCGACGAUCAGUAGCUGGUCGAGAGGAUGAUCAGCCACAUUGGGACUGAGACACGGCCCAAACUCCUACGGGAGGCAGCAGUGGGGAAUAUUGGACAAUGGGCGCAAGCCUGAUCCAGCCAUGCCGCGUGAGUGAUGAAGGCCCUAGGGUUGUAAAGCUCUUUUGUGCGGGAAGAUAAUGAC
rnacentral:rRNA from 1 species